AAUCAAUGACGAUAAAUUGAUUCUUUACCAAAUCGAAAGUGCCGUGAUAAUUGAUCCCUUUUUGGUU
rnacentral:snoRNA from 1 species